rnacentral:rRNA from 1 species
AUUGAACGCUGGCGGCAUGCCUUACACAUGCAAGUCGAACGGCAGCACGGGGCAACCUGGUGGCGAGUGGCGAACGGGUGAGUAAAGCAUCGGAACGUGCCCUGGAGUGGGGGAUAACGUAGCGAAAGUUACGCUAAUACCGCAUAUUCUGUGAGCAGGAAAGCAGGGGAUCGCAAGACCUUGCGCUCUGGGAGCGGCCGAUGUCGGAUUAGCUAGUUGGUGGGGUAAAGGCCUACCAAGGCGACGAUCCGUAGCGGGUCUGAGAGGAUGAUCCGCCACACUGGGACUGAGACACGGCCCAGACUCCUACGGGAGGCAGCAGUGGGGAAUUUUGGACAAUGGGCGGAAGCCUGAUCCAGCCAUGCCGCGUGAGUGAAGAAGGCCUCGGUUGUAAGACGUCUUCGUCCGGAGGAAGUACGCAUGGUCGAAUAACCUCGUGUGGUAGUGACGGUACCGGAAGUAAGAAGACACCGGCUAACUACGUAGCCAGCAGCCGCCGGUAAA